rnacentral:rRNA from 1 species
UACGUAGGGUGCAAGCGUUGUCCGGAAUUAUUGGGCGUAAAGAGCUCGUAGGCGGUCUGUCGCGUCUGCUGUGAAAACUCGGGGCUUAACCCCGGCCUGCAGUGGGUACGGGCAGACUAGAGUGCGGUAGGGGAGACUGGAAUUCCUGGUGUAGCGGUGAAAUGCGCAGAUAUCAGGAGGAACACCGGUGGCGAAGGCGGGUCUCUGGGCCGUAACUGACGCUGAGGCACGAAAGCGUGGGGAGCAACAGG